GUAGUCCACGCUGUAAACGAUGAGUGCUAGGUGUCGGGGUGAGAAUCUCGGUGCCGGAGCUAACGCAAUAAGCACUCCACCUGGGGAGUACGUACGCAAGUAUGAAACUCAAAGGAAUUGACGGGGGCCCGCACAAGCGGUGGAGCAUGUGGUUUAAUUCGAUGCAACGCGAAGAACCUUACCAAGGCUUGACAUCGCCACGACCGGACUAGAGAUAGUCCUUUCCUUCGGGACGUGGUAGACAGGUGGUGCAUGGUUGUCGUCAGCUCGUGUCGUGAGAUGUUGGGUUAAGUCCCGCAACGAGCGCAACCCUUAUCUUUAGUAGCCAGUGGGUAAAGCCAGGCACUCUAGAGAGACUGCCGUGGAUAACACGGA
rnacentral:rRNA from 1 species